rnacentral:rRNA from 1 species
AUUGAACGCUGGCGGCAGGCUUAACACAUGCAAGUCGAGCGGGGGAAGGUAGCUUGCUACCGGAUCUAGCGGCGGACGGGUGAGUAAUGCUUAGGAAUCUGCCUAUUAGUGGGGGACAACAUCUCGAAAGGGAUGCUAAUACCGCAUACGUCCUACGGGAGAAAGCAGGGGAUCUUCGGACCUUGCGCUAAUAGAUGAGCCUAAGUCGGAUUAGCUAGUUGGUGGGGUAAAGGCCUACCAAGGCGACGAUCUGUAGCGGGUCUGAGAGGAUGAUCAGCCACACUGGGACAGAGACACAGCCCAGACUCCAACGGGAGGCAGCAGGGGGGAAGAUUAGACAAUGGGGGGAACCCUGAUCCAGCCAUGCCGCGUGUGUGAAGAAGGCCUUAUGGUUGUAAAGCACUUUAAGCGAGGAGGAGGCUACUUUAGUUAAUACCUAGAGAUAGUGGACGUUACUCGCAGAAUAAGCACCGGCUAACUCUGUGCCAGCAGCCGCCGUAA